rnacentral:tRNA from 3 species
GGGGCUGUAGCUCAGCUGGGAGAGCACCUGCUUUGCAAGCAGGGGGUCAGGAGUUCGAGCCUCCUCAGCUCCACCA